rnacentral:rRNA from 1 species
CGGACGGGUGAGUAACGCGUGAGAAUCUGCCUUCAGGUUGGGGACAACAGUUGGAAACGACUGCUAAUACCCAAUGUGCCGAGAGGUGAAAGCUUUAGUGCCUGAAGAUGAGCUCGCGUCUGAUUAGCUAGUUGGUGGGGUAAUGGCCUACCAAGGCGACGAUCAGUAGCUGGUCUGAGAGGAUGAUCAGCCACACUGGGACUGAGACACGGCCCAGACUCCUACGGGAGGCAGCAGUGCGGAAUUUUCCGCAAUGGGCGCAAGCCUGACGGAGCAAGACCGCGUGAGGGAGGAAGGCUCUUGGGUUGUAAACCUCUUUUAUCAGGGAAGAAGAUCUGACGGUACCUGAUGAAUCAGCAUCGGCUAACUCCGUGCCAGCAGCCGCGGUAAUACGGAGGAUGCAAGCGUUAUCCGGAAUUAUUGGGCGUAAAGCGUCCG